GUUAAAAAGAGAAACAGAGCAAAAACUUACAAUUUCUGGGGUGAAGAAAAUGGCUACACUGAGAAUUCCAGAUGUUGUUCCUUCUCCAGAUGAAGACUCUGAAACUCUUGUGAAAUCCUUCAAAGGACUGGGAACUAAUGAGAAGUCAGUGAUAUCGGUGUUGGGACACAGAAAUGCAAGCCAGAGGAAGAAGAUCAGAGAAACCUAUCAGCAACUUUACAACAAGUCCCUUAUAGAUGACAUUAAUUCUGAAUUGUCUGGUGAUUUCAGGAAAGCAGUCAUCCUAUGGACAUAUGAGCCUUCUGAAAGAGAUGCACGGCUAGCAAAUGAAGCCUUAAAGUCGAGAAAGAAAACCAUCACCCAGUUGCAAGUGAUAGUAGAGAUAGCUUGUGCAUCAUCUCCUGAUCAUCUGGUCGCGGUGAGACAAGCAUAUUGUGGCCUUUUCAACCGUUCACUUGAAGAAGAUAUCACAGCAAAUGUCCCAAUGCCUAUACAAAAGAUUCUUAUUGGUCUAGUCAGGUCCUAUCGAUAUGAUAGAGAAUUGGUGGAUCCUAGUACUGCAAAUGAAGAAGCUGCUAUCCUUCGUGAAGCCAUACGGACAAAACAGUUGGAUCAUGACAAUUUUCUUUUCAUACUCAGCACAAGGAAUGGUUAUCAGCUUAGAGCAACUUUUGAGUGCUACAAGCAAAAUUACGGAUUCUCCAUUGACCAGGACAUGAAGAGCUGUGGAAAAGGUCUGCUGGAAUCUAUACUGAAGGUGGUUAUCUGGUGCAUUGAUUCGCCUGAGAAACAUUUUGCUGAGGUUGUCAGAGCCUCGAUUCUUGGGUUUGGAACUGAUGAGAAUGCUCUAACUAGAGCCAUUGUAACUCGGGCUGAAGUUGAUAUGAUGAAAGUCAGGGGAGAGUACUUCAUCGCGAACAAGAGUAAUCUUGAUAGUGCAGUUAUUGAUGACACAUCAGGUGAUUACAUGAAGUUCCUGAUGACACUGCUUGGGGCCAAAGUCUAACUAGCUCUCUGGAUCUGAACAUUGUGUUGUAUGUAGUGUUCCAAUUCUGUAUUUUUACUUUGUAUGCUAUUAUGAAACAUUAAUGUAUGGACCUGUUGUGAAA
rnacentral:misc_RNA from 1 species